rnacentral:rRNA from 1 species
GACGAACGCUGGCGGCGUGCUUAACACAUGCCAGUCGAACGGAAAGGCCCUGCUUGCAGGGUGCUUGAGUGGCGAACGGGUGAGUAACACGUGGGUGAUCUGCCCCUUACUUUGGGAUAAGCCUGGGAAACUGGGUCUAAUACUGGAUAGGACCAUGCUGUAGGUGGUGUGGUGGAAAGAUUAGUUUCGGUAAGGGAUGAGCUCGCGGCCUAUCAGCUUGUUGGUGGGGUAAUGGCCUACCAAGGCGUCGACGGGUAGCCGGCCUGAGAGGGUGGACGGCCACAUUGGGACUGAGAUACGGCCCAGACUCCUACGGGAGGCAGCAGUGGGGAAUAUUGCACAAUGGGCGCAAGCCUGAUGCAGCGACGCCGCGUGGGGGAUGACGGCCUUCGGGUUGUAAACUCCUUUCAGCCAUGACGAAGCCCUUGUGGUGACGGUAGUGGUAGAAGAAGCACCGGCUAACUACGUG